AACGAACGCUGGCGGCAGGCUUAACACAUGCAAGUCGAGCGCCCCGCAAGGGGAGCGGCAGACGGGUGAGUAACGCGUGGGAAUCUACCCAUCACUACGGAAUAACGCAGGGAAACGUGUGCUGAUACCGUAUACGUCCUUCGGGAGAAAGAUUUAUCGGAGAUGGAUGAGCCCGCGUUGGAUUAGCUAGUUGGUGGGGUAAAGGCCUACCAAGGCGACGAGCCAUAGCUGGUCUGAGAGGAUGAUCAGCCACACUGGGACUGAGACACGGCCCAGACUCCUACGGGAGGCAGCAGUGGGGAAUAUUGGACAAUGGGCGCAAGCCUGAUCCAGCCAUGCCGCGUGAGUGAUGAAGGCCCUAGGGUUGUAAAGCUCUUUCACCGGUGAAGAUAAUGACGGUAACCGGAGAAGAAGCCCCGGCUAACUUCGUGCCAGCCGCCGCGGUAACAC
rnacentral:rRNA from 1 species